rnacentral:rRNA from 1 species
GUGAGGAAUAUUGCACAAUGGGCGAAAGCCUGAUGCAGCAACGCCGCGUGAGUGAUGAAGGCCUUUGGGUCGUAAAACUCUGUCCUUGGGGAAGAAAAAAAUGACGGUACCCUUGGAGGAAGCCCCGGCUAACUACGUGCCAGCAGCCGCGGUAAUACGUAGGGGGCAAGCGUUAUCCGGAAUUAUUGGGCGUAAAGAGUGCGUAGGUGGCUUUGUAAGCGUAGGGUGAAAGGCAGUAGCUCAACUAUUGGUAGCCCUGCGAACUGUGAGACUUGAGUGCAGGAGAGGAAAGUGGAAUUCCUAGUGUAGCGGUGAAAUGCGUAGAUAUUAGGAGGAACACCAGUGGCGAAGGCGACUUUCUGGACUGUAACUGACACUGAGGCACGAAAGCGUGGGUAGCAAACAGGAUUAGAUACCCCAGUAGUCC